GAUUUAAUCUUCGACGUUUCGGUCGGAGUCCGGCCUUCGUCUUCCUGACGAAGGCCGGACUCCGGCCGAAACGUCGAAGAUUAAAU
rnacentral:pre_miRNA from 1 species